rnacentral:rRNA from 1 species
GCUACUAUUCUGUGCGGUUUUCUUCUGGCAUCCAUCAUUCAGCUUUCAGCAGCGAACCCCAAAGUAACCAUGAAAACUACUCUUGGGGAUGUUGUGCUGGAAUUGGAUGCUGAGAAGGCUCCCAUCUCAACACUGAAUUUCCUCAGGUAUGCCCAAUCAAAAUACUAUGAUGGCACUGUCUUCCAUCGUGUGAUACCCACAUUCAUGAUUCAAGGGGGUGGCUUUGAUGCAAAGCUGGACAAGAAACUCAAAGGGCUAAUGGCUCCA